GCAAGUCGAGCGGUAACAGGGGUAGCUUGCUACCCGCUGACGAGCGGCGGACGGGUGAGUAAUGCAUAGGAAUCUGCCCGAUAGUGGGGGAUAACCUGGGGAAACCCAGGCUAAUACCGCAUACGUCCUACGGGAGAAAGGGGGCUCCGGCUCCCGCUAUUGGAUGAGCCUAUGUCGGAUUAGCUAGUUGGUAAGGUAAUGGCUUACCAAGGCAACGAUCCGUAGCUGGUCUGAGAGGAUGAUCAGCCACAUCGGGACUGAGACACGGCCCGAACUCCUACGGGAGGCAGCAGUGGGGAAUAUUGGACAAUGGGGGCAACCCUGAUCCAGCCAUGCCGCGUGUGUGAAGAAGGCCCUCGGGUUGUAAAGCACUUUCAGCGAGGAAGAACGCCUAUCGGUUAAUACCCGGUAGGAAAGACAUCACUCGCAGAAGAAGCACCGGCUAACUCCGUGCCAGCAGCCGCGGUAAUACGGAGGGUGCAAGCGUUAAUCGGAAUUACUGGGCGUAAAGCGCGCGUAGGUGGCUUGAUAAGCCGGUUGUGAAAGCCCCGGGCUCAACCUGGGAACGGCAUCCGGAACUGUCAGGCUAGAGUGCAGGAGAGGAAGGUAGAAUUCCCGGUGUAGCGGUGAAAUGCGUAGAGAUCGGGAGGAAUACCAGUGGCGAAGGCGGCCUUCUGGACUGACACUGACACUGAGGUGCGAAAGCGUGGGUAGCAAACAGGAUUAGAUACCCUGGUAGUCCACGCCGUAAACGAUGUCGACCAGCCGUUGGGUGCCUAGAGCACUUUGUGGCGAAGUUAACGCGAUAAGUCGACCGCCUGGGGAGUACGGCCGCAAGGUUAAAACUCAAAUGAAUUGACGGGGGCCCGCACAAGCGGUGGAGCAUGUGGUUUAAUUCGAUGCAACGCGAAGAACCCUUACCUACCCUUGACAUCUACAGAAGC
rnacentral:rRNA from 1 species